rnacentral:rRNA from 1 species
UUACGCGAAGACCUUACCUACCCUUGACAUACAGAGAACUUUCCAGAGAUGGAUUGGUGCCUCCGGGAACUCUGAGACAGGUGCUGCAUGGCUGUCGUCAGCUCGUGUUGUGAAAUGUUGGGUUAAGUCCCGCAACGAGCGCAACCCCUGUCCCAUGUUGCCAGCGUGAAAGACGGGGACUCAUGGGAUACUGCCGGUGACAAAUCGGAGGAAGGUGGGGAUGACGUCAAGUCAUCAUGCCCCUUAUGUCUUGGGCUACAAACGUGCUACAUUGGCCGGUACAAAGGGCUGCGAACCCGCGAGGGGGAGCGAAUCUCAAAAAACCGGUCCCGGUUCGGAUUGGAGGCUGAAACUCGACUCCAUGAAGUCGGAAUCGCUAGUAAUCGUGGAUCAGAAUGCCACGGUGAAUACGUUCCCGGGUCUUGUA